AGGUUAAGCUACAAAGGGCGCAUGGCGAAUGCCUUGGCACUAGGAGCCGAAGAAGGACGCGUUAAGCUGCGAUAAGCUUUGGGUAGGCGCAAAUAGCCAGUGAUCCAAAGAUUUCCGAAUGGGGGAACCCACAUAGUAACAACUAUGUACUGCAUACUGAAUAAAUAGGUAUGCAGAGGUAGACCCGGGGAACUGAAACAUCUAAGUACC
rnacentral:rRNA from 1 species